GCGCGGGUGGCGGAAUUGGCAGACGCGCUAGUUUUAGGCACUAGUAUCUUUGAUGUGAGGGUUCAAGUCCCUCUCCGCGCACCA
rnacentral:tRNA from 1 species